UCCUCGUUUAGACGAGGCAGUCUGUCCAGAGUGCUCCCGGCUCUCACCGGGGUGGCAACAGGACAUGAGGGUUGCGCUCGUUGCGGGACUUAACCCAACAUCUCACGACACGAGCUGACGACAGCCAUGCAGCACCUGUGUAAGCUCCCCUUGCGGGGUCGUCGCCCUUUCAGGCUCCUACCACCUACAUGUCAAGGCCAGGUAAGGUUCUUCGCGUUGCAUCGAAUUAAGCCACAUACUCCACCGCUUGUGCAGGCCCCCGUCAAUUUCUUUGAGUUUUAACCUUGCGGCCGUACUCCCCAGGCGGCACGUUUAACGCGUUAGCUUCGCCACGGACGGGGUCGAUUCCGCCCACAGCAAACGUGCACCGUUUACGGCUAGGACUAC
rnacentral:misc_RNA from 1 species